CUCAAUGAAAUUUCAAUAGCCGCAAUACAAUUGUGCUAAGGUAGCAUAAUCAUUUGUCUUUUAAUUAAAGACUAGAACAAAAGAUUCAAUAUUUUUAUUACUUUCUUAUUAAUAUAUAUUUAAUUUAUCCUAAAUAUAAAAAGAUAUUUAUAAUACAAAAAGACGACAAGACCCUAUUGAACUUCACUAAAGUUUAACUGGGGCAGUUAAUUAAAUAAAAUUUUAAUUUAUACUUCAACAAAUCACCUAAUACUAUUAAUCUUCAUCAAGUUACCAUAGGGAUAACAGCGUAAUAAUUUUCUAUAGAUCUUAUUCAAAAAAUAAUUUACGACCUCGAUGUUGAAUUAAUAUUCUAUUAAAUGCAAUAAUUAAUAAGAAAGUC
rnacentral:rRNA from 1 species